rnacentral:rRNA from 1 species
CCAGACUCCUACGGGAGGCAGCAGUGGGGAAUAUUGCACAAUGGGGGAAACCCUGAUGCAGCGACGCCGCGUGAGCGAUGAAGUAUUUCGGUAUGUAAAGCUCUAUCAGCAGGGAAGAAGAUGACGGUACCUGACUAAGAAGCCCCGGCUGACUACGUGCCAGCAGCCGCGGUAAUACGUAGGGGGCAAGCGUUAUCCGGAUUUACUGGGUGUAAAGGGAGCGUAGACGGCUGCGCAAGUCUGAAGUGAAAGCCCGGGGCUCAACCCCGGGACUGCUUUGGAAACUGUGUAGCUAGAGUGCUGGAGAGGCAAGCGGAAUUCCUAGUGUAGCGGUGAAAUGCGUAGAUAUUAGGAGGAACACCAGUGGCGAAGGCGGCCUACUGGACGGUGACUGACGCUGAGGCUCGAAAGCGUGGGGAGCAAACAGGAUUAGAUACCCGAGUA